rnacentral:lncRNA from 1 species
CAUCGAUGCAAAUAAACAGCAAAGGCAGCUGAUCGCAGAGCUAGAGAACAAGAACAGAGAAAUCUUACAAGAGAUCCAGAGACUUCGGGUAGAGCAUGAGCAAGCUUCUCAGCCCACACCCGAGAAGGCUCAGCAGAACCCGACCUUGCUGGCAGAACUCCGGCUCCUCAGACAGCGCAAGGACGAGCUAGAACAGAGGAUGUCUGCUCUCCAGGAGAGCCGGAGAGAGCUGAUGGUCCAGUUGGAAGGUCUCAUGAAGCUCUUGAAGACCCAGGGGGCAGGCUCUCCACGCUCUUCCCCCAGCCACACCAUCAGCAGGCCGAUCCCCAUGCCCAUCCGGUCGACGUCUGCCUGUUCCACACCAGCGUACACCCCACAGGACUCCCUCACUGGGGUAGGGGGA